GGGAGGUGGAGGGUGAGGGGGGAGGGAAAGGAUGGGGGGAGGUGCCAGGUGAGGAGGGAGGUGAAGGAUGUGGGGAGGUGCAGGGUUGGGGGGAGAUGCAGGGUUGGGAGUAGGUGGAGGGUGAAGGGGGGAGGUACAGGAUGGGGGGAGGUGCAGGGUGAGGGGCAGGUGCAAGGUGAGAGGGGAGUUGAAGGGUUGUUGGGGGAGGUGCAGGGUUGUGGCGGGGAGGUGCAGGGUGGCUGUUGGGGGAGGUGCAGGGUUGUCCGGGGAGGUGUAGGGUUGUGGGGGGAGAUCAGGGUAGGGAGGGUGGGGAGGCAUGGGCCAGGGGCCCCAGGUGAGGGUGUACGGCGUGCACCUGCACCUCCAUGUCUGCACUGAUGACUGAGGACCCAGAGCGGGGGGAAGGAGAGGCCCCCAGAGAUGGCUGUGCCCCCAUGUCCUGCU
rnacentral:lncRNA from 1 species